rnacentral:misc_RNA from 1 species
CUGAGCCAUUCCAUUCAUACUAAAACUCCAUCCAAGAAUAUAGUGUGUGCUUGCAAGGAUACCGGUUGAUGAAGAGAACCCAACAUACAUAUAAUCUUUGAGGAAAGAGAAAGAUCUACUUCAAAAGACAAGAUGGAAGAUCUUGGUUUUAUGGAAGAAGGGGAAAGCCUAACCUCUAUUAUAUUGUUGGUUGAGUCAUAA